GUUAACCAGCUCAGUCAACUACCACCGAUUAUUUUCAAGGAAAAUAAAAACCUAGAGUGGCUAGAGUUGUCCGACAACAAUCUCAACGAAUUAACUGAUAACCUGUUUCGAGGAAUGAAGAAUUUAACAAGGCUGUGGUUGCGUAACAACAAACUGAAGAAGCUAACCCCAGAACUGUUCACAGAUUUAAUCAGU